rnacentral:lncRNA from 1 species
ACGUUAACUGUGUAGUGUAUUUCUAUAGACUCUUUUGCAGCGCAUUUUUUAUUUAAAGUUUUUAUUAUGGAAAUAUUCAAAUACACAUAAAAGUAGAGAAGAAUACAAUGAAACCCAACAUGCCCAUCACCCAACUUCAACAAUCAACAUUGGCAAUGCAUUGUAACAUAGUUGACAUCCUAAUAUAUUUAGUGAUUUUAAAAAUUAUUUAUUACGAAAAGAAUCCGGUUCAUUAAAAAUUCAAGCAGUGCAGAAGAGUGAAGUAAAAAAUAAAAAUCUUCUUACUCUCCCAAGGCCCUUAAUCCCAGUGCUCAGAAAUAACUUAACAGCUUUUAAUGUAUCAAUCUAGAGAUUUUCUCUGAAUAAAUUAUACAUUUUUACAAAUGUAAAAAAUUUUCACACAAGAAAUCAGACCAUACAUAUAUAUUAAUACUUGCUUCUUCCACUUAGUACUUCUUGGACUUCUUUAGAAGCAAAUACCUGCAGGUAGCCUGCAUUCUUCAAUGGUUGCAGAGUGUUUCACUGGAAAGCAAACUUAACCCAGGAACGAAGGGAGGGCGACAGCUAGUUGGCUUGUAAGUAGACUCUAUCUCAAAAGCCAGAGGCUUACAAAGUGGAUUGUGUACACAGUAGGGAGUGCAAAAUGCCUACUGGAAUGUGGGAAGAAAUAUGAUCUCCGUUCAUUUUUCUCUUAUCCCUCAAAAUUGUGGCAUACUUUAAAACAUCAUCAUAGUGCAGUAACACAGUCAUAUUAUUUAUACAUAUUUCCAUAUUAGGAGUGUGUACUCAAGAUUUUUAAGUGUAAGAUACAAGAUCAAAAAACUUGGAGACAAGCUGGAUGCGAUGGUUCAUGCCCUUUGGGAGGCCAAGGUAUGAGCCAUCACAACUGGCCACAUUUUAAAACUUCUAUGAAAAAUUUCAAAUAUAAACACAGGUAGAGAAAAUAGUAUAAUAAAUCCCCAAGUGCCCAUCACCCAGCUUCAAUAAUUAUCAACUCACAGCCAAUCUUGUUUCAACUAUAUCCACACACACCAGCCAACUUCAAUCCUUAUUUUUAAGCAAAAACUUAUACAUCGUAUCAUUUCAUUUUUUAAGUGUUUCAAUUUGCAUCUCUAAAAGGGGUCCUUUAAAAAAUGUAACAAUACCAUUAUCACACCUAAAAAUAAUUAAAAACCUUAAUAUCAAAUAUCCACUUUUCACAUUUUUCCAAUGGUCUCAACAGUUUGUUCAAAUCAGUAUCCAAAUAAGUCCAUAAAUUGUCUUGAUAGAUGUAGCUCUUAAGUCUCCUUUAACCCAUCGUUGUCUUUUCUCUUUGCAUUUCUGUUGUUGAAGCAGGACCAUAUGUCUUGUAGUUUUCCAGAGUCUGGAUUUUGCUGAUUGAGUCCCUUGUAUAUUAUUUGUCCCUCUGUCCCCUGUAUUUCUAAUGAAGGGGUAGUUAGAUCAGGAGGCUUCAUCAUGAUGAGAUGUGACUUUUGGCAGAACUGCUUCAUAGGUGGUAUAUGUACUUCCAUUAGGAGGCACAAAAUCUGAUUGCUCUCACUUUGUGAGGUUAGCAGUCACUGGCGAUUAUUGUCUAGAUCCAUAAAUUGUUGGGGGGGUAAAAUGGUGAUAUCCUAAUUCUAUCAUUUCUCUUAUUACCUGGAAUUUCUUUAAAAGCGUAUCCCAAAGGUAACUAUAAUUCUGUCCACUACCAUCAUUAACUCACAGAGUUAAAUACAAUACUAUGAGUUUCAAUCUCUUGCAGAUAUUAUCCUUGCUGAUGCUAAAGUUAUCUCAGCCUUGGCCAGUGGUAACUUCUAAGGUGCCUCCUGAAUCUUUCUGAUCUGGUACAAAACAAUGUUUCCUAGGUUCUUCUUGUACAUUUCUUUCUUACAGGUGGAAUUAGUGAUUUAUCCAAAGGAGUCUGGUUCCCUUGAAGAAAAAUGGUACUUAAGAGACCACAAUUAGGGCACUCAAUUUGACUUGCAUUUGAAUUAUGUCUAAAGCUAAUCAACUGAAUUAAGCAUGAGUCUUCUAUUAUUGUUUCUAAUACAUUCAUGUGGCUGCAUAUAUGUGGAUUUCUAAGGAUGGGACUCUGAUUUAAUAUAUAUAUAUAUAUAUAUUAAAUCGUGGUAGUAUAACUUGGUACAUCUAUCUGGGAGACAGUACCAUAAUUUUUAUCAAUGUCCCUCAAAAAACCUUUACCCCAACAAUUCCACUUUUAGGAAUUAAUUUCAUUAUUAGGCUGAGGAUUUUCCUAAGAAUUGUUUAAAAUUCUUUAGAAUUGUUUAAAAUAAUAAACAAUGUGGAACCUACAUGUCCAAACAAUGGGAAAUUGGUUAAGAAAAAAAAAAACAUACAUCCACAGAAAUAUUUAGAGUAGUUAAUGUGAUAUACAUUAUCAAUGUACCAUUAAAUGAGAAAGGUGGGUUACAAAAGUGUGCAUAUUAUGUUUUUGUCACACACAUAGAAAAAAAGUAACAAAGGCCAGGUACUCAAAUUUUUUUUUUUUUUUUUUUUUUUUUUUUUUUUUUUUUUUUUUUUUUUUGAGACAGAGUCUCGCUCUGUCACCCAGGCUGGAGUGCAAUGGCGCAAUCGCGGCUCACUGCAGCCUCUGCCUCCUGGGUUCAAGCAAAUCUCCUGCCUCUGCCUCCCGGGUUCAAGCAAAUCUCCUGCCUCUGCCUCCCGAGUAGCUGGGAUUACAAGCAUGUGCCACCACGCCCAGCUGUAUUUUUAGUAGAGACGGGGUUUCACCAUGUUGGCCAGGGUGGUCUCGAACUCCUGACCUCAAGUGAUCCACCCGCCUUGGCCUCCCAAAGUGCUGGGAUUACAGGUGUGAGCCACCGCACCCAGCCCUGCCAGGUACCCAAAUCUUACCAGUGCAAACUACACCAUUCUGUUGUGUUCCCACUGCUGGUUUAGGAUUUGACUUCCCUGGGUCUGCCCAAUCAAUAGUACUCCUUCAUCUGCUUCCAGAUUUCGUUCUUGUUCAAUUCACCUUGUCCUUGUUGGAUUACCCCACACCCUAUCACUUUAGUGUAGAUUUCAGGAAAAAGCAAAAACUAAUCAGUAUUUUGCUCAAUGCUCCGUUUUACCUAGCAUCCUGUUGCUUUUUAUAGAAGAGAUGCUCUGAAGAACUUACCAAUUAUAAAAUACAUGAAUUUCUACUGAAAAUAGUACAUACAUGUAUAUAUCUAAGACACACAAACAAUAUAGUAAUAUAAAACAGAAGGGCUAAAUUUCUAUCCUAAUCAUAUAAAGAGUUGAAUACAGAAACAAUAGUGAAAAAACUAAACUGGUAAUAAACGGAAAAGUAUAUCAAAUGGAAGUUGUUUUUAAUCAAGAACACAACAUGAGAGAUGCUGAAACUGAAGUUGUCCUCUGUGGGGCAAACCAAUUGUCUUUCUAGUUUCUAAGAAGUUGAAAGUGGUUUUGGGGAAACUAAAAUUUCUUACAACUUUAGUGACUUCUCUAAAGAUGAACUGUCCCUGGCAGCUGCUUUAAAACUACAUCUGGCUUGCACCCUGGUUUUGGGAAACCUUGACCCUUUAAAUAUGGAUAAUGAAUAUCUCUUCUUGUACUCCUCCAGGUGAACUGUCCAGGUUUGUAAUGCUUGACACUCUGAUACCUUCAAUUAGAAAUACUUAAUAAGAAAUGCCUUCUCAUGCACAAGCCCCGAAAUUUCAUAGUUGCCAAGGACACCAAUCCCAUCUUUAAGAAAUAAUAAUAAUUAGGUCUUACUACAGGGACAAAUACAAGGACUGAGGGUCGAGUAGUUUGCUCCGCUUGGACAAAUCAGAUUUCACUAUCCUAAGACUGUGACAAACACGAAGUACCCAAAGCAUAAAGUGUUGAAGACACCUCACAAAACAAGACUGAUCAGAGAAAGUUGUCAUUUCCUUAAAUAAAUGCUUCCCCAAACUGCAUGACAUUGCUUGACACUACAGGGAAUGCUAAAUCCAGAAGCAGUCAAUAAAUUUAUUUUAUUUCUGAUUUUGUUUGUGAAUUGGUACCUGAAUUUAUAAAACUGGGGAGGGAGGGAUGGAGGGAGAGAGGACGGACUGUAAACAGAAUUUAAGCAUUCAAUUACAAGUAAAAAUAACUAAUUUAUAAUUACCCAAAUCAAUCAAUAUUGAGAGUUUCAUAAAUAACUAAACAUAAUAUACAUUUGAUGCUCCUAAAUUAACAAAGUAAUUCACAAAGUAUUACAUAUUUACUCAUUUAACAAGUAUUACUUAUAGCUAACCUUGACUAAAAAAAGAAUUUGAAGCAGAUUACCUCAUGCAGGGAAUUAUUCUGGGCUUACAAUUCCUUUUCUAGGUAACACUGAAAUGUCAAUUCUCUCCUUAUUUGCUAUGAAGAGAAAAAUGAUGGCUCAAAAUUUUAAACAAACUUAUCAUUAAACUAGGCUUUUUAAAAUAAAUGAGGUACUUAGCAUUCAAAACUUUGAAAAACACAUAAAAACAAGACCAUAAGUUUUCAAAAUGACUCACCUCUUCCACCAAGACAAGCACUGAAUAUUGAUUAGAAACAAUGUAAUGCAGUUGAGAUUAGUUGGGUGUUUUAAAAAGGUUUAUUGUGUGUACGCAGAGUAUCUAACUGGAAAUUUUCUACAUGGAUUCCAAAG